rnacentral:snRNA from 19 species
AUACUUACCUUGUCUGGCCGUCGGGUGAUCAAGAAAUCCGGGCGGCAGAGAGGGAGGCCUGCAUUGCACAUCGCGGAGUCGACCUUUCUCGAUUGCCCUUCGGGGCCAUCGUGGGCGCAAUUUUUGAUAUGUUCAUCGUUUUCAUUAUGUUCGUUGCCUUGCG